CUCUCUCUUCUUGUCCAAAGAGAAAUGUCAUUGACCGAAUCCAUAAAUUCUACUCAAACACUCUUAAGGCUACAAUGGAUCUACAUUCCUGGCCUCCACUCGAUUUCCGGAUCUUUCUUUGCCUAGGGCUAAGAUACUGAAAUAGGAUUUAUUAAAAUUAACAUACUUGCUAUUCCGGUUCUUACUGGGAAAGAUGGGCUUGGUUCUAAAAUCUUUACGCAAGUAAAACUCCCGCUGUUUCUGCUGAAACUCUUGGCACUUUGUGUUUGAUGAAGACAUCUGCUUUUGGUUUCAAAUAAUCUCCUUUGGACCAUCGAGGGUCCAUGCACACGCACACAAAACCAUCUUUUGAGUGAAACAAUGUCAUUAUGUAGCCAUUGUCACCCUUCGAUGGAUGAGGUCCAGACACUCCACAGAAUCGCUGUCUCAGGAAUAAAUUUUGUUGGUGGACUGGAAAGCGAAGUGGGGGAAUGUUACGAGAUUGGGAAAACAGCUCAUUUUCUCGGUUGGGGGGGGCGCUCGGAUGUGCACCCUGUGCGACGAUGCAGACGAGACGCCCAUCGGAGCCGUCCGGUCCCUUUGUCCUACACCCCACCCCGGAGGUGUGGGGGACCCGCGCAUUGCGGAUCUGAGGCGGCCCCGGCGCCCCAGAGACCAUGCCUAAGAGAAGAUGGGUUUGCUGUGGGAAGAGAGCAAGACUCUGAGAAACAGCAGUUCGGUGACACAUGACAGGUGAUAAUGUGGAUUAGCUGGUCUCCAGGAUCUGAUUUUCUUCGGGAUGAACAUAUUUUGGUCCCCAGGUUUCCAAGACAAGCACAUUCCUGCCAACAUGAUCUCUGGACAAGCUGUUCUGGUAUUUGAACUUGCUACUGGAAGGGGGUGAAGUCCAGGACAUACACACAUUGCAGUGUGGGGUGAGCCAUAGUUGGCUACGUUAGCACCUCAUUAUACAACAGUUCCAGGAUAAAGUGUUUCCAGAUGUGCUAUCAGCAAGUACCUAGCACUUAGGUUUUUUUUAACCCAUUAGCCUGAGAUCUACUUUGAGAACUUUGGGGAAGCCAGAAGUUAGUUAAUUAGCUAGUCAUCCUUACUUACUCCAUAAAGUUGAUUCUAAAUUGACCAUAAUUUUCAAUACACUUCAAGUUAGAAGACACUAAUUAUGGUUCUGUGAAACAUGUAUGUUUACACACGUAUACAUGUAUUCUUACACACAUAUCUUCAAUAAUAGUAAGUUCAUUUGGAGUACUGGUAUAUGAUCAUUAAGUUUCUCUUUCUUGGAAAUUUUGUUUAGAAAGAUUAGAAGAGCAUGUGUCUAAGAGGUAGUAGUCUAAUUUCCUUCCAUUGGGUGAUCCAGAUGCAACCAUCAUCACUGUGAUUCUGAAGAGUAAACUUUAUAGGUAAGUCUGGGUUAAGGGCAUUCCUCAUUUUUUUUAAAACAAGCUUAGAAAUUUUUCACUUAAUGAGCCUUCUGAACACACACACACACACACACACACACACACACACACACAGCAUCCACCCAAAAAAUGUAUACACACUUCAACAGUUUGCCGUACUGAUAAAUGUCUGGAAGUUAAUGGCCACCACUUUAAGCAUGUUUUGUAGUUGUAGAGGUCAAAGGUAACAUGUUAAUCUCAUGAUGUCUCAAUAAACUUAGUAUUAAAAUAUUUAUACAAGUUUUUCUUUUCCUGAUGUAUACAUUUUUUUGUUGUUCUCUCUCUCUCUUUCUCCCUCUAACCGAAGAUGAAGGCCUUUGGUACUGCAAUCAGCAGAGGAUGAACUAUAUAUAGUCUGUGCAUAGAUUUUUAAGCAUUUGUAAUUUAACAGUAUCAAGGGCUUGCUAUGGAGGGAAUGGAAAAAUAAUCCUUUUUCUUAUAUUAUUUAGAGAAUAAUUACUGAGGCAGACAGCGUGGGCCCAUAGUCUGUGCUGAGUCCAGACUGGUGAUAUUAUACCCUUCAGGCUCAUUGAGGCUUUGGCUUAGAAGGUCCUCUUUCCCCCAGGGGACACGGCCCAUCCCAGCAUGAGGGCUGCACAAGUGGGGUUCAGGCUGAAUUUCAGCCCUUACUAUCCCCUUCCCAGAACUUAGCACAGGAUGCGAACCACACAUUGAAUGCAGUAGUCCUUAAGAUAGGUUUUUGAGUUUUACUUCUUGUGCCUCAGCCCAGACAUGAUUUCAUUCUCUGCAGUCUUCAUCUGUUUAAAUAGUUGGAUCUGGGCAAGGGAUAGUUGAGUGUUUUUUUGUCUUUGAAUCUGAAGGUGGAUUACUAAUUAUUGUUUAAGAUAGUCUCCAAGUGUCUCACUGAUACUUGAAGAAUGUUUUCUAUCUGCUAUUUUAUUAAACUACUAAACUUAAGGUUGAGAUUUUGCUAAGCCUUACCUGAGUCUAGAAACAAAAAGACACCAGA
rnacentral:lncRNA from 1 species